rnacentral:rRNA from 1 species
GUUCCCAUACCGAACACGGAAGUUAAGCUUCUCAGCGCCGAUGGUAGUUAGGGGCUGUCCCCUUGUGAGAGUAGGACGCUGCCGGGC